GAGACCAAUUUGGCCUGGGGAGAACCGCCUUCAGGCGUUUGGACUCAGUGGAGGUUGUGAGUGCCCAGCAGUGUGGCCUGAAUCUCCGUGGGGUUUAGGGAGACGAAAGGACCCCAGAUCGACGUCCCCUCGUUCCCACUUUGGGGAUCGGCGCUCUGGCUGUUUCGUGAAGGAGAGAGAGGUUGAUUCCAUACCCUGGCUAUUGUGAAUAAUGCUGCAGUGAACAUGGGAGUACAUACAUCUGUUUGAGGAACUCAGAGUGGUUUUCCAGAUGGGAAUCACAUUGCUCUCUGUCCCUGAGAUCUUGCUGGAGACAGGGCUACUCAGUCCCUCUUUGCCAGGUGAGUAUAGAUGCAGUGUGGUGACUUACUCAAGGGCACCUAGAGUUAGUGGGAUAGGUCUGGCACUGUGGCCAGGUAUGUCUCCUGUCCCAUAUCCAUCUGCAUGUCCAUUAUACACAGCUGUAUUAGUUUGUUUUCAUGCUCCUGAUAAAGACAUACCCAAAACUAGGAACAAAAAAAGGUUUAAUUGGACUUACAGUUCCACAUGGCUGGGGAGGCCUCAGAAUCAUGGUAGGAGGUGAAAAGCUCUUCUUACAUGGUGGCAGCAAGAGAAAAUAAGGAAGAAGCAAAAGCGGAAACCCCUGAUAAUCCCAUCAGAUCUCGUGAAUCUCAUUAACUAUCACGAGAAUAGCACGAGAAAGACUGGCCCCCAUGAUUCAGUUACCUCCCCCUGGGUCCCUCCCACAACAUGUGGGAAUUCCGGGAGAUACAAUUCAAGUUGAGAUUUCGAUGGGGACGAUGGGGACACAGCCAAACCAUAUCAUUCUGCCCCUGGCCCCUCCAAAUCUCAUGUCCUCACAUUUCAAAA
rnacentral:lncRNA from 1 species